GCAUCCUGCUCACUUGUUAGAGCCAUGUUGUUUGAGACCACCCUUUUUAGGUCCUGUACAGUCGAGACCAGAUUAUUGGCCUCUUCUACCGAGCACACACAAAAAAAAUCUUGGGGGAAGGACUCGGUGAAGGUCGUGAUGAUAUCCUUUAUGUCAAGGCUACUUUUGCUUAUCUCCAGGGCGCGGGUGAGAUUUUUACAGUGGAGUAGGAUUUUUUGGAGGUCCGUCGCGCGGUUAGCGUGCAUGGCGGGUAGGCACGCGCAUACUUUGGCCUGGACAUGGUCUGCGAGGUUUGGGUCUGAUAUGAGAUUAUUUUUUAGCAGGGUGAACAGUUUUUCAAUUUGGAGGUUUGAAUUAAUUAACAGUUUGAUAUCAUCAUUUUUAAUUUGUAGCUGCUUGGACCACGCCAUUAGAUAAUUCAGAACAUUCAAGGCCUCGGUGGGAGUGUAGUCGCUGUCUGAAACCACUCCAAUCUCUAGUACCUGUUGGAGGACAUUCUUGAGCUGAUGGAGAGCCCUGGUCAGGCGAUAUGAUUCUCCAGUAUCAGUGUCUACUAAUGCGGGGAAUGAUGGCACAUGGCCAGGCAGAGUCAGGGAAUUUAAAAGCUGGUCCACGGCAGCCAGGUUGGGGAGGGUGACGCUUGGGAGGGACGUCCCAGACCUGUCUGGCUCGGCCUCCCUGUCGCCCUCGCUCUCGUCCUCCAUAUCAUCGUCCCCAGUAAGAUCGAUGACGUCAUCGUCCAUCGUUAAGUCAAUUAUGUCUGGAGAGGGUAGAGGGUGUGUCAUUUUCUCUGGAGGGGUGCGCCCAGAUUCUUUCCUCUUUUUGUUGGCAUCAGUCCACUCCUCCCCACAGCUCAUAGGAUACCUCUUCCUCUUUGCCUUUGACAUGUAUUUCAAGAGGGAGCCCACUUCUGGGUCAGGCGACGAUGACGCCUGUGGUGACGAACAGAAACUCUGGUUGGUGGUUGGUAGGUCAUAUUCUUCCAAGAUUAUUUUUGAACCAUGUAAAUCAGAAAAGGAGAUGACUUUAUAGUGAGACAUGAUGUAAUUUUUGGGAGAAAUGUGUCCUGGUACAAAAUAUAGGAAGCACGCAGUAUAUUCGCGGGACACGCCCCCGACAUAUUUUAUCAGAGCAUCUGGAUCAGACGUGCUGAGUACGUGGGCUGGACUCUCAGGAAUGUCCUUUAGACAGUGUGGAUCAAACAUGGUGUACCUGCCCCCCUGGAUGAUUAUGGCCCCAGAUUUUUGUCCACAGAUGUACAAAAUAUACUGGAUAGUGUUUGAAUAAUUGGCCGUCAGCAGGUCACGCAGGGACGUGAUGCAGGAGUCAGAAAUGUCAGCUGGCAUGCCAAGCAGGCCAAACAUUUCAGCAGAGGUAUAGAUGAACCCAGACCACUUUCUUGUUUGGACAUAGCAAGGCACGUGGUCCAGCUGGGCAUAUUGGCCAGGAGAUAAGAGGCCCAAUUUUCUCAGAUUGCUGUCUAACUCUGCCCCAAACUUUAAAACUUUAUUAAGGUCGUGGGUCUCGGUUAUGGGGGCUUCAUUGUUGAAGUAGGAAGACAUCAGGUAUAUGAUACAGUUGCUAAGACACUGAGCCCCUGCAUUUUCUCCAAAUUUACAAUCUGCCUGAUUGGUUGAGGCUGUACCUUCGAUGCGAAACCCAGCCAAAGAAGCAGGCAGGGCCAUUAUGAUAGCAGUUUUAUUAUGUCAUGAAUUUUUACAAUAGUGUAGGGGCACUCUGCGUGCUCGGCGGUGUAGGUUUGUUGUGUAAAUAUUUGCCAGUUAACAUCCAGGGGUAUUCUGUCAUAAGUGCUGGAAUAUUUUUUCAGUUGGGGUGGAUGUUUCUCACCACGGGCAGCGUUUUGGCUAAAAAUCUGGGGGUAGGUAGAAUAUAGCAUGGUUAGGUCUUCAUCUGUGGGGUUUCCCCCAGCCUGGGUCAUUGACGUGUCUGUGGGUGGAGCCAUCAGAUUUACUGGAAUUUCUUUAAGAUUUUUGAUAAUUUCCACAUUUCCAGCCGAUGCCGCCUUUAAGAUUGUGGGGGUAAUGAUUUCCUGGGAAAACAGGUCAUGAAACCUUUUUCUUAAGCAACUUGAACAUCCUUUCGAGAGAAGGGAUAGUCCAGAGCUAAUUCUGGAGAGUAUGCCACUGAAGGACUGUUUGAGUUGGUUCCAAGGUUCGGUGUCAAAUUCUAUCCCCAACUCAUGCUGUUUAUAUGCCUCUAGGUCUUGAAGAAGUGAGAGCACCGUGCUGUAUUCCCCCCUGAGUUCACCCUCCAGAUCUGUUAUCUCCAUCAGGAGCUGACUGUGAUCCUUUUCCACCUGGCUAAUCAGACUCUUGAGGGUCUCCAAGUGAACUUCCAGAAUCUGUCCACUGGAGGACAGUAUGGUGAAUUGAUGGGUUAGGGGGUGAUAGUUAUAUUUGGUGUGACAUAAAAUUGAGCCCAGACGUAAGAUGUUUCUGCCCCUCAACAAAAGGUGUUCGACCUUGGGGAUGAUGGCCGUGAUAUAAUCUACAGAAUUGAUAUAGGAUGCGCCAGUGUCUAGUACAAAUAAGUAGAGGAUUAGAUCCUGGGGUAUAGAAAAUGUCUGGUUAAUUUUGUUGAUCUUUUUCUUUAGAUCCAGGGCAUGGUCCAAGAGAUUCUUCAUGGCAGAAGGUUUAUUGGUCCCGUUGAUGAUGUCGAGCAGCUCAAAGUAGAACAUGCCCAGCGGUCUGCGGAUCUCCUGCAGCUGGGGCGUGUCGGUGAUAGCGAAGCUCAGCAGCCAUCUUAUUUGGAAGAGGGCCCGGUUUCUUGACGUCUUUCUGGAAAAUAUCCCCUGUAUGGUGGGACCAACGAUGUGUCUGAUGAAGUACUUGUAAAACAUUUUAUGGGAGACCAUGGCAGGCUCGUAGGAUAAGUCCCCGACAGGCAUUCUUUUACAGUAGGCCGCGACCCUCUCUUCGGAAACCUGGUGCUCGCAAGAGGGUUCCAUCAGUGGAUUCUGGGUGAUGAGGACAAUGCCCCAAUUCCUGUUUACCCAUGAAAAAAAUAAAGUUCUCAUGAUAUCUGA
rnacentral:lncRNA from 1 species